GAAACUUAAAGGAAUUGACGGGGGCCCGCACAAGCAGCGGAGCGUGUGGUUUAAUUCGAUGAUACGCGAAGAACCUCACCCAGGUUUGACAUGCAUGUGGUACCAAGGUGAAAGCUGAGGGACCCUUCGGGGAGCAUGCACAGGUGUUGCACGGCCGUCGUCAGCUCGUGCCGUGAGGUGUUGGGUUAAGUCCCGCAACGAGCGCAACCCCUGUCGCCAGUUGUAUUUUUCUGGCGAGACUGCCGAGAAAACCUCGGAGGAAGGAGGGGACGAUGUCAGGUCAGCGUGGCCCUUACGCCUGGGGCUACACACACGCUACAAUGGGCAGUACAACGGGUCGCGAAGCCGCGAGGUGGAGCCAAUCCCAUCAAAGCUGUCCUCAGUUCGGAUUGCAGGCUGAAACCCGCCUGCAUGAAGCCGGAGUUGCUAGUAACCGCACGGUUCACGCACUUACUGCGGUAGUAAAGUACGUUCCCGGGCCGUU
rnacentral:rRNA from 1 species